CAGCAGCCGCGGUAAUACAGAGGGGGCAAGCGUUGUUCGGAAUUACUGGGCGUAAAGGGCGCGUAGGCGGCCUGUUAAGUCGAACGUGAAAUCCCCGGGCUCAACCCGGGAACUGCGUCCGAUACUGGCAGGCUUGAAUCCGGGAGAGGGAUGCGGAAUUCCAGGUGUAGCGGUGAAAUGCGUAGAUAUCUGGAGGAACACCGGUGGCGAAGGCGGCAUCCUGGACCGGCAUUGACGCUGAGGCGCGAAAGCCAGGGGAGCAAACGGGAUUAGAUACCCCGGUAGUCCUGGCCCUAAACGAUGAAUGCUUGGUGUGGCGGGCAUCGAUCCCUGCCGUGCCGAAGCUAACGCAUUAAGCAUUCCGCCUGGGGAGUACGGUCGCAAGGCUGAAACUCAAAG
rnacentral:rRNA from 1 species